rnacentral:rRNA from 1 species
UCUGUAGGUGGUCAAAUAAGUCAACUGUUAAAUCUUGAGGCUCAACCUCAAAAUCGCAGUCGAAACUAUUAGACUAGAGUAUAGUAGGGGUAAAGGGAAUUUCCAGUGGAGCGGUGAAAUGCGUAGAUAUUGGAAGGAACACCGAUGGCGAAGGCACUUUACUGGGCUAUUACUAACACUCAGAGACGAAAGCUAGGGUAGCAAAUG